GAUGAACGCUGGCGGCGUGCUUAACACAUGCAAGUCGAGCGAGAAGUUUUGAACAGAUUCUUCGGAUGCAAUUUAAAAUGGAAAGCGGCGGACGGGUGAGUAACGCGUAGGCACCCUGCCCCAUACAAAGGGAUAGCAUUUGGAAACGAAUAUUAAUACCUUAUGAAACUUAACUAGUGCAUGCUAGGUAGGUCAAAGAUUUAUCGGUAUGGGAUGGGCCUGCGUCUGAUUAGCUAGUUGGUGAGGUAACGGCUCACCAAGGCGACGAUCAGUAGCCGACCUGAGAGGGUGAACGGCCACAUUGGAACUGAGACACGGUCCAAACUCCUACGGGAGGCAGCAGUGGGGAAUAUUGCACAAUGGGGGAAACCCUGAUGCAGCAACGCCGCGUGAACGAUGAAGGCCUUUGGGUCGUAAAGUUCUGUUCUAGGUGAUGAAAACUGACAGUAACCUAGGAGAAAGCCCCGGCUAACUCCGU
rnacentral:rRNA from 1 species